UACGUAGGAGGCAAGCGUUGUCCGGAAUUACUGGGCGUAAAGCGCGUGUAGGUGGUGGGACAAGUCUGCUGUGAAAGCGCCUGGCUUAACCGGGCGGGGUCCAUGGAAACUGGUCACCUGGAGGUCGGUAGAGGCAAGUGGAAUUCCAGGUGUAGCGGUGAAAUGCGUAGAUAUCUGGAGGAACACCGGGUGGCGAAGGCGGCAUCCUGGACCAAUUCUGACGCUGAGGAGCGAAAGCCAGGGGAGCAAAGCGGG
rnacentral:rRNA from 1 species